rnacentral:rRNA from 1 species
UAGUGAGUUUGAUCCUGGCUCAGAUUGAACGCUGGCGGCAUGCUUUACACAUGCAAGUCGAACGGCAGCGCGGGGGCAACCUGGCGGCGAGUGGCGAACGGGUGAGUAAUAUAUCGGAACGUACCCAAGAGUGGGGGAUAACGUAGCGAAAGUUACGCUAAUACCGCAUAUGAUCUAAGGAUGAAAGUGGGGGAUCGCAAGACCUCAUGCUCCUGGGAGCGGCCGAUAUCUGAUUAGCUAGUUGGUGAGGUAAAGGCUCACCAAGGCAUCGAUCAGUAGCUGGUCUGAGAGGACGAUCAGCCACACUGGGACUGAGACACGGCCCAGACUCCUACGGGGAGCAG